GGCGAACGCUGGCGGCGUGCUUAACACAUGCAAGUCGAACGGAAAGGCCCUGCUUUUGUGGGGUGCUCGAGUGGCGAACGGGUGAGUAACACGUGAGUAACCUGCCCUUAACUUUGGGAUAACUUCAGGAAACUGGGGCUAAUACCGGAUAGGAGCUCCUGCUGCAUGGUGGGGGUUGGAAAGUUUCGGCGGUUGGGGAUGGACUCGCGGCUUAUCAGCUUGUUGGUGGGGUAGUGGCUUACCAAGGCUUUGACGGGUAGCCGGCCUGAGAGGGUGACCGGCCACAUUGGGACUGAGAUACGGCCCAGACUCCUACGGGAGGCAGCAGUGGGGAAUAUUGCACAAUGGGCGGAAGCCUGAUGCAGCAACGCCGCGUGCGGGAUGACGGCCUUCGGGUUGUAAACCGCUUUCGCCUGUGACGAAGCGUGAGUGACGGUAAUGGGUAAAGAAGCACCGGCUAACUACGUG
rnacentral:rRNA from 1 species